rnacentral:rRNA from 1 species
GACGAACGCUGGCGGCGUGCUUAACACAUGCAAGUCGAACGGAAAGGCCCUGCUUUUGUGGGGUGCUCGAGUGGCGAACGGGUGAGUAACACGUGAGUAACCUGCCCUUGACUUUGGGAUAACUUCAGGAAACUGGGGCUAAUACCGGAUAGGAGCUCCUGCUGCAUGGUGGGGGUUGGAAAGUUUCGGCGGUUGGGGAUGGACUCGCGGCUUAUCAGCUUGUUGGUGGGGUAGUGGCUUACCAAGGCUUUGACGGGCAGCCGGCCUGAGAGGGUGACCGGCCACAUUGGGACUGAGAUACGACCCAGACUCCUACGGGAGGCAGCAGUGGGGAAUAUUGCACAAUGGGCGGAAGCCUGAUGCAGCAACGCCGCGUGCGGGAUGACGGCCUUCGGGUUGUAAACCGCUUUCGCCUGUGACGAAGCGUGAGUGACGGUAAUGGGUAAAGAAGCACCGGCUAACUACGUG